UACGAAGGGUGCUAGCGUUGCUCGGAAUGACUGGGCGUAAAGGGCGCGUAGGCGGCUCAUAGAGUCGGUCGUGAAAUUCCCGGGCUUAACCUGGGGGCUGCGUUCGAUACCUGUGGGCUGGAGUGAGGAAGAGGGUCGUGGAAUUCCCAGUGUAGAGGUGAAAUUCGUAGAUAUUGGGAAGAACACCAGUGGCGUAGGCGGCGGGCUGGUCCUUUACUGACGCUGAGGCGCGAAAGCGUGGGGAGCAAACAGG
rnacentral:rRNA from 1 species